CCUACGGGAGGCAGCAGUGAGGAAUAUUGGUCAAUGGGCGCGAGCCUGAACCAGCCAAGUAGCGUGAAGGAUGACUGCCCUACGGGUUGUAAACUUCUUUUAUAAAGGAAUAAAGUGAGGCACGUGUGCCUUUUUGUAUGUACUUUAUGAAUAAGGAUCGGCUAACUCCGUGCCAGCAGCCGCGGUAAUACGGAGGAUCCGAGCGUUAUCCGGAUUUAUUGGGUUUAAAGGGAGCGUAGAUGGGUUGUUAAGUCAGUUGUGAAAGUUUGCGGCUCAACCGUAAAAUUGCAAUUGAUACUGGCAGGCUAGAGUACAGUUGAGGUAGGCGGAAUUCGUGGUGUAGCGGUGAAAUGCUUAGAUAUCACGAAGAACUCCGAUUGCGAAGGCAGCUUACUAAACUGCCACUGACAUUGAUGCUCGAGAGUGUGGGUAUCAAACAGGAUUAGAUACCCUGGUAGUC
rnacentral:rRNA from 1 species